rnacentral:lncRNA from 1 species
UUCAGAAUAAUAGCAGAUCAGGGCAGCUGAACUGAUAUCAGAUUUUGCCCUUUGGAUUUUCAGAUUUCUAAGCAUCUGGCUGUGGGAGGAGUUAUGACAUCUGUACACCUGCCAGACAGGGAUUCUUAAUGCCUGUUCCAUUCACAAUGGAACUAUUCCUCUUAAAAAAGAAAAAUUCAAACACCAACAAACUCAGACAAAUCUUAUCUGUUCCUGGAAGUCUGAAACCAUGAUUAAAAUUUUUGCCAAAUUUGGGACCAGGAAGAAAUUUCCACCGCAUUCCCAUGACUUGGAUUGUGGUGGAUCCUUUCACUUCCUCUGAAUCAACAAAGACGGGAUCAUCAGAUAAAAGAAGGGCCAGUUCAUUUUUUAAUAUGGGUUACCCGUUCAAGAGUUUAAGGUGAGAGUAUUAAAUGUUGAUUUCCUACAGCUCUUUUAAUGGUUUUUCUACUUUGGGAAUAUGUCUUGAUUUGAGAGGCAUGGGCUAUUAUAAUACUAAGCAGGUAAGUGUCAUAUAGUGACUUUAGGGAUGUGGGGAAGCCUCGUUAAUUUAAAAUAUAAAGCUCAGUUUGAAAGGCCUUGUUUUUAAAAUUAGCCCUAAAGUCUCUGAUUUAAAUAAACCAGGCAUAUGCAAAUAGUAUAAAUGAGUU